rnacentral:other from 2 species
UCAAAUCUGAGAUGUGCGCGUUAUCUCAUAACGUAAGGUUGACCGAACACCUAUAUAAUUGGUCUUUGAAAUGAAAUAUUAAUAACAUGCCUCUUUGAGGAAGUUAGCAGUAUUUCUAUUGAAGACCCCCUGCUUGUCAGCGGGUUCAACUACAGAGAUGAUUAACGGCAUCAUGCGGAUUACAA